AUUGAACGCUGGCGGCAUGCCUUACACAUGCAAGUCGAACGGCAGCACGGGUGCUUGCACCUGGUGGCGAGUGGCGCACGGGUGAGUAAUACAUCGGGACAUACCUUAUCGUGGGGGGUAACGACGUCAAAGUUGCGCUGAUAACGCCUACGAACUGUGGGGACAAGCGGGGGCACGUAAGGACUCGCGCCAUUCGAGCAGCCGAUGUCUGAUUAGCUUGUUGGUGGGGUAAAAGCUAACCAAGGCGAUGCGCAGUAGCGGGUCUGAGAGGACGAUCAGCCACACUGGGACUGGGACACGGCCCAGACUCCAACGGGAGGCAGCAGUGGGGAAUUUUGGACAAGGGGGGCAACCUUGAGCAAGCAAGGCCGCGUGAGUGAAGAAGGCCUUCGGGUUGUAAAGCUCGUUUGUCAGGGAAGAAACAGCUGCUCUAACACGGUCUGCGAAUGACGGUACCUGAAGAAAAAGCACCGGCUAACUACGUG
rnacentral:rRNA from 1 species